rnacentral:rRNA from 1 species
AUGUGCGCGAUUUUUAACGUGGUAGAGGAUGCAAACCACGCCUUUUUCCGGUGCCCGCUGGCCAGGUUCGCCUGGAGCACGGUCUGGACCGCGGCCGACGUAUCCUGGGACCCGAGGUCAACCAGCGAUCUUGUGGCUAUCCUUGACUCGGUCCAGGGGAGCAUUAAACGUGUGUUGUGGAGCUGUGUCGGGCCACUGUCCUGGGCACUUUGGCUAACUAGGAACAAACUUGCUAUUGACGGGAUCUUCCCGACUCAUACGGCUAAUAUCAUCUACAAAUGCAACUUAUUCCUGCAGCAGUGGAGUCCGUUGGCGAGGCGCAAGGAUGCUGAGAGGAUGCAACAUGCUCAAGACCGUCUACACCAGGUGUACGUGAUGUCUAGGGAGCCAGCCGCCACUUCUUGA